UGGAAUCUAAUGUAGCUGAAGGGAAAGCAGAGCUGGAGAAGUGGAGGACGGAGAAGAAGGUCGUGGAGGAGUCGUUGAGGGAGUCUGAGAAGAGAGUGGCGGGGUUGGAGGCGGAGAUUGUGGAGCUGGAGAGACAGAUGGAUGAGUCUGAGAAGAUGAUUAGUGGAUUGAAGAACAUGGUUGAGCCUGUGAAUGGCGUAGAGGUUGUUAGGUCGUGGUCGCCGGGGGCUGUGAGUGGUGGUUCUGGUGGAGCUAUGGCUGCUGUUGCGGUUGUUGCUGUGGCGGGA
rnacentral:lncRNA from 1 species